rnacentral:rRNA from 1 species
UACGUAGGGUGCAAGCGUUAAUCGGAAUUACUGGGCGUAAAGCGUGCGCAGGCGGUUUUGUAAGUCUGUCGUGAAAUCCCCGGGCUCAACCUGGGAAUUGCGAUGGAGACUGCAAGGCUAGAAUCUGGCAGAGGGGGGUAGAAUUCCACGUGUAGCAGUGAAAUGCGUAGAGAUGUGGAGGAACACCGAUGGCGAAGGCAAUCCCCUGGGCCUGCACUGACGCUCAUGCACGAAAAGCCGUGGGGAGCAAACAGG